CUCCAUGGGCUGCAGGGGGACAUCCUGCUUCACCAUGGUCCUCACCACAGGCCGCAGGGGACUUCUGCUCCGGCACCUGGAGCACCUCUCCCCCUCCUUCUACACUGACCUUGGCACCUGCAAGGCCAUUUCUCACUGCCUUGACUCCCCCGGCUGCUGUGUGGCGCAGCGUUUUUUUCCCUGUCUUAAAUAUGCUCUCACAGAGGCGCAAAACAACAUCGCGUAUUGGCUCAGAUCUGGAAAACAAUGGGGCCCUUCCCAAACAUGGGGCGGCUUCUAGAUCUUUCUCACAGAAACCACCCCUAUGGCUCCCUGCUACCAAAACCUUGCCAAGUAAACCCACUACAGUUGCAUGAGUAACAGGUAUUUUUUCCAGUGAGCAAUGAGGUAAUCAGAUCCUACUCACAUAAGAAUUGUACCUGUGUUCAUGACAGAGGUAUUCAAAUCUGUCUGGGGCAUUGUUGUAUACCACGUAUCAACCAUAUUCCUGCUUUUAUAGAGAACAGAUACAAAACUUGUCAAAUGUCAACCAGAAAUGGAUUCAAAGGUGGACAACAUGUUUUAUGCAGAUGGAGUAUUGCUCUCCCAUAAACAGCAAGCCACUGUUCAAGUAAGAACUUUUUCAUUAAAUAUGUGGUAAAAAUUAUCAGUGUAGAGGUAUCUGUGGUGAUUAUGCAAGAAAAAGUGUUGAGGACCAUGAAAUCACACAAGAGGUUUGCUUUAUAGCUAGCAGUCAUUAUAGAGGACAGUCAUUAUAUGUGCUCUAGCCUAUAGCUCUAGGCUACCACCAGAGCUCACCUGAAUUUGAGCAUUGUCAUUUGUCUGUUACAGGUCACCUUCUCUCGGUGCCUGAUUCUGAAGACACUUUAAUCAAAACAAAUUGGGUUACUUUAAACAGUGCAAAUGGCAGGUCUUCUUUGUUCCAGGUCAUUUUGACUGUUACAGAGUACUAGUAACAGCACUUCUGUAAGGAGAUCUAAUGGGGAGAGUAAUCUCAGGUAGAAGAAAAAGGGACAACAGGGCUAAAAUGGCAAUGGUAGCCUUUUCUGUUGAUACAGCUGAGUCACAAAGAGGCUGUUUAUUCACAGUAUAGAGAUACUAAUGGUAGGUAUGCAGCCCCAGUGAUACUAGUUGUGACAGGCUAGGAAAUAAACAUCAGCAGCAAUGUGAUCUAGGGAUCAGCAGUGCUAUAAAGCUGAAUAAUGAGAUUCAAGCAGAGGCCGAUUCAAGAAGAGUUUCAGUAUUUUAGCCAGAAUCCAUAUUCCCUUGCUAUGAGCAUAUAUCACAUUAUCAGAUACAGCCAGCUCAGCAAGAUGUCAAGGGUGUAGAAAGUCAUUGCUGCAUUUUAGUGUGGGAUUGACAGCUAUAGGUUUAACUAUACCAGAUGGGCAAACCUGUGGCAUCUGAACAGUUCAAGUGUGGAUCCAUUGUAAAAACUGUGAUGUGAAUUGCUGCGGGCGAGCUCUCCUGGUGGAAAGCCUUCUGGAUUUGUACCAGAAGUGAGGAAAUGAGCCAGCACUGACUGUUUAAGCCAACACCAGCAGGUCUCUCAGGACUCAGCUGUCUGCUCAUCCCACUCUCAGUCCACAGAAAAGUGUUACAUAAAUAACUGUCUAAGGAGAAUGAAUAUUUUCUGACUGUGAACUGCUCUUGACUCCACCAUAGGACAUAGGUGUUUGAUGAAGUCUGAUCUUUGAUAAGAGAGAAGCUAAGGACAGAGCUGCCCUAUUCAUAAGAAAUGGAAUGCUGUAAUCAAGCUAAAGCAACUCUCACUUUUGCCUUCUUCAUUACACAACAGAGGAAACAGGGGCUCCAGAGCUGAUCACAGCACUCCAUGUGGGGGGUCUCCCGAGAGCAGAGCAGAGGGGGACAAUCACCUCCCUCACCCUUCUGGCCAUGCUUUUUUUGAUGCAGCCCAGAUGGUUGGUUUUCUGGGCUGCAUGUCCACAUUGCGAGCUCAUGGCGAGCUUCUUGUCAACCAACACCCCAAGGUCUUUCUCCUCAGGGCUGCUCUCAAUGCAUUCUCCACCCAGCCUGCAUUUAUGCUUGGGGUUGCCCCUGCCCAGAUGCAGGACAUAUACCCAGCUCUGCAUUGGCAACUCCACUCAGAUGGUAUGAGUUGUGAGCCAAAAUUGACUUUGUAACAGUUGUUUUCAUUAAAGAAGGCAUAAA